GGGGAAUAUUGCACAAUGGGCGAAAGCCUGAUGCAGCAACGCCGCGUGAGUGAUCAAGGCCUUCGGGUUGUAAAGCUCUGUCUUCUGGGACGAUAAUGACGGUACCAGAGGAGGAAGCCACGGCUAACUACGUGCCAGCAGCCGCGGUAAUACGUAGGUGGCAAGCGUUGUCCGGAUUUACUGGGCGUAAAGGAUGCGUAGGCGGAUACUUAAGUCAGAUGUGAAAAUCCCGGGCUUAACUUGGGAACUGCAUUUGAAACUGGGUAUCUAGAGUGCGGGAGAGGAAAGUGGAAUUCCUAGUGUAGCGGUGAAAUGCGUAGAGAUUAGGAAGAACACCAGUGGCGAAGGCGACUUUCUGGACCGUAACUGACGCUGAGGCAUGAAAGCGUGGGGAGCAAACA
rnacentral:rRNA from 1 species